UACGGAGGGUGCGAGCGUUGUCCGGAAUCAUUGGGCGUAAAGGGCGCGUAGGUGGCCCGGUCAGUUCGUGGUGAAAGCGCGGGGCUCAACCCUGCGUCGGCCAUGAAUACUGCCGCGGCUGGAGCACUGUAGAGGCAGGCGGAAUUCCGGGUGUAGCGGUGGAAUGCGUAGAGAUCCGGAAGAACACCGACGGCGUAGGCAGCGCCCUGGCUGUGAAUAAAGCUGACACUGAGGCACGAAAGCUGGGGGAGCAAACAGG
rnacentral:rRNA from 1 species